rnacentral:rRNA from 1 species
GUUGAACGCUGGCGGCAUGCCUUACACAUGCAAGUCGAACGGCAGCACGGGAGCAAUCCUGGUGGCGAGUGGCGAACGGGUGAGUAAUAUAACGGAACGUGCCCAGUCGUGGGGGAUAACGUAGUGAAAGCUACGCUAAUACCGCAUACGACCUAUGGGUGAAAGCGGGGGAUCGCACGACCUCGCGCGAUUGGAGCGGCCGAUAUCAGUUUGGGUAGUUGGUGAGGUAAAGGCGCACUAAGCUGACGAUCUGUAGCGGGUCUGAGAGGACGACCAGCCAGACUGGGAGUGAGACACGGCCCAGACUCCUACGGGAGGCAGCAGUGGGGAAUUUUGGACAAUGGGCGCAAGCCUGAUCCAGCAAUGCCGCGUGCAGGAUGAAGGCCUUCGGGUUGUAAGCUGCUUUUGUACGGAACGAAACGGCGAGCGCGAAUACAGUUUGCUAAUGACGGUACCGUAAGAAUAAGCACCGGCUAACUACGUGCCAGCAGCCGCCGUAA